GGUAUUGGAAAUCAUGCCAUCACUGAGCUCCUGGACCUGGUUGGCAAGAAAACCACAGUAGGUGCUGAGACAGGGGUAGAAACCAAACCCUGUGAAGACACACAGCCUGAUUUUGCUUGAGUAAGGACCAGCAGCUCCCCAAGGCACAUUCCUGUCAUGGCAGAUGGCAGAUGGCAGAAGCAAAGCAUCCAAGCCAAACUACACAGGCAUUUAAAGCCUCUGCUUAGUAUCACAUUUGCUCACAAUUUAUUGGCUGAAGGAAGUCACAUGGCCAAAUCCAGUAAGCUGCUAUACGAAGAGGCCGAUGGGGCAAAGAACUGAAUGUGGCCACAAGCCAACAUCCAACAGUUGCUGAAGCCUGACAGCCCACAAGGAAACGAUUCCUGCCAACAGCCACAUGAAUUUGGAA